rnacentral:rRNA from 1 species
AUUGAACGCUGGCGGAAUGCUUAACACAUGCAAGUCGAGGGGCAGCAUAGAUUGUAGCAAUACAAUUGGUGGCGACCGGCGCACGGGUGCGUAACGCGUAUGCAACCUACCCGUCACAGGGGGAUAAUCCGGAGAAAUCUGGUCUAAUACCCCAUAACAUAUGGAUCGGCAUCGGUUCAUGUUGAAAUUUUCGGAGGUGACGGAUGGGCAUGCGUAGCAUUAGCUUGUUGGUGAGGUAACGGCUCACCAAGGCGACGAUGCUUAGGGGGACUGAGAGGUUUUCCCCCCACACUGGUACUGAGACACGGACCAGACUCCUACGGGAGGCAGCAGUGAGGAAUAUUGGUCAAUGGGCGCAAGCCUGAACCAGCCAUGCCGCGUGCAGGAUGACGGCUCUAUGAGUUGUAAACUGCUUUUGUACGAGGGUAAAGUGGGUUACGUGUAACCUUUUGAAAGUAUCGUACGAAUAAGGAUCGGCUAACUCCGUGCCAGCCGCCGCCGUAA